rnacentral:rRNA from 1 species
AACGAACGCUGGCGGCAGGCUUAACACAUGCAAGUCGAGCGGACCCUUCGGGGUCAGCGGCAGACGGGUGAGUAACGCGUGGGAAUCUACCCAGCUCUACGGAAUAACUCAGGGAAACCUGAGCUAAUACCGUAUACGUCCUCCGGGAGAAAGAUUUAUCGGAGUUGGAUGAGCCCGCGUCGGAUUAGCUAGUUGGUGGGGUAAUGGCCUACCAAGGCUACGAUCCGUAGCUGGUCUGAGAGGAUGAUCAGCCACACUGGGACUGAGACACGGCCCAGACUCCUACGGGAGGCAGCAGUGGGGAAUAUUGGACAAUGGGCGAAAGCCUGAUCCAGCCAUGCCGCGUGAGUGAUGAAGGCCCUAGGGUUGUAAAGCUCUUUCAGCGGGGAAGAUAAUGACGGUACCCGCAGAAGAAGCCCCGGCUAACUUC